rnacentral:rRNA from 1 species
UACGUAGGUGACAAGCGUUGUCCGGAUUUACUGGGCGUAAAGAGCGCGCAGGCGGUCGAUCAAGUCGAGUGUGAAAGCCCCCGGCUCAACUGGGGAGGGUCAUUCGAUACUGAUCGACUCGAAGGCAGGAGAGGGUAGUGGAAGUUCCCGGUGUAGCAGUGAAAUGCGUAGAGAUCGGGAGGAACAUCCGUGGCGAAGGCGACUACCUGGACCAGCACUGACACUGAGGCACGAAAGCGUGGGGAGCAAACAGG